UACGAAGGGGGCUAGCGUUGUUCGGAAUUACUGGGCGUAAAGGGCGCGUAGGCUGUGCUGUAAGUCAGGCGUGAAAGCCCCGGGCUCAACCUGGGAAUUGCAUUCGAGACUGCGUAGCUAGGGUGCGGAAGAGGGAAGCGGAAUUUCCGGUGUAGCGGUGAAAUGCGUAGAUAUCGGAAGGAACACCAGUGGCGAAAGCGGCUUCCUGGUCCAGCACCGACGUUCAGGCACGAAAGCGUGGGGAGCAAACAGG
rnacentral:rRNA from 1 species